rnacentral:rRNA from 2 species
AAAUUUGAAAUCUGGCGUAAGCCCGAGUUGUAAUUUGUAGAGGAUGCUUCUGGCCAGCGGCCGUUCUAAGUUCCUUGGAACAGGACGUCAUAGAGGGUGAGAAUCCCGUAUGUGACCGGCGCGCAGCCUUUACGUAGCUCCUUCGACGAGUCGAGUUGUUUGGGAAUGCAGCUCUAAAUGGGAGGUAAAUUUCUUCUAAAGCUAAAUACCGGCCAGAGACCGAUAGCGCACAAGUAGAGUGAUCGAAAGAUGAAAAGCACUUUGGAAAGAGAGUUAAAAAGCACGUGAAAUUGUUGAAAGGGAAGCGCUUGCAACCAGACUUUGUAGCGAUGUUCCGCCGGUCUUCUGACCGGUCUACUCAUCGUCGCGAGGCCAACAUCGUCUGGGACCGCUGGAUAAGACCUAAGGAAUGUAGCUUCCCUCGGGAAGUGUUAUAGCCUGUGGUGAUGCAGCGCGUCUCGGGCGAGGUCCGCGCUUCGGCAAGGAUGUUGGCGUAAUGGUUGUCAGCGGCCCGUCUUGAAACACGGACCAAGGAGUCUAACAUCUAUGCGAGUGUUCGGGUGUCAAACCCCUACGCGUAAUGAAAGUGAACGGAGGUGGGAAGCGCAAGCUGCACCAUCGACCGAUCCUGAUGUCCUCGGAUGGAUUUGAGUAAGAGCAUAGCUGUUGGGACCCGAAAGAUGGUGAACUAUGCCUGAAUAGGGUGAAGCCAGAGGAAACUCUGG